rnacentral:rRNA from 1 species
GAUGAACGCUGACAGAAUGCUUAACACAUGCAAGUCGAUGGGGAAGUGGUGCUUGCACCAUGGCAACCAUGGCGGACGGGUGAGUAACGCGUAAGGGACUUACCUGCAGGACUGGGAUAACAGGGGGAAACUCCUGACAAGACCGGAUAAUGUCAUGGAGCUGCAUGGCUUUAUGAUGAAAGGAGACGCCUGCGGAGAGCCUUGCGUCCUAUUAGCUAGUUGGUGAGGUAAUGGCUCACCAAGGCGAAGAUAGGUAGCCGGCCUGAGAGGGUGGACGGCCACAAGGGGACUGAGAUACGGCACUUACUCAUACGGGAGGCAGCAGUGGGGAAUAUUGGACAAUGGGGGCAACGCUGAUCCAGCAAUUCUGUGUGCACGAAGAAGGUUUUCGGAUUGUAAAGUGCUUUCAGAAGGGAAGAAGUAAGUGACGGUACCUGCAGAAGAAGCGACGGCUAAAUACGUG